UUCCCUGUGGUCCGGCGGUUAGGACUCUGCAUUCUCACUGCCGAGGGCUCAGGUUCAAUCCCUAGCUGGGGAA
rnacentral:tRNA from 1 species